rnacentral:rRNA from 1 species
UACGGGGGGGGCAAGCGUUGUUCGGAAUUACUGGGCGUAAAGGGCUCGUAGGCGGCCAACUAAGUCGGACGUGAAAUCCCUCAGCUUAACUGGGGAACUGCGUCCGAUACUGGAUGGCUUGAAUCCGGGAGAGGGAUGCAGAAUUCCAGGUGUAGCGGUGAAAUGCGUAGAUAUCUGGAGGAAUACCGGUGGCGAAGGCGGCAUCCUGGACCGGCAUUGACGCUGAGGAGCGAAAGCCAGGGGAGCAAACGGG